CAUGAAUUUUAGCACAGAUUUUAAUAUUGUGGUACAUAGCUUAGCACAGACUUCAAUACUUUAGCAUGGAUUUAAUACUCUAGCGUGGACUUUUAUUCUUUAUUACUUUAAUAUUUUAGCACAGACUUUAGCACAGACUUUAGCACAGAUUUAAUACUUUAGUAUCAACUUUAAUAUAUUAGCACAGACUUCAAUACUUUAGCCCAGACUUCAAUACUUUAGCACAGAUUUUAAUAUUUUGGUAUAUAUUUUAGCACGGACUUUAAUACUUUAGCAUGGAUUUAAUAUUCUACCAUGGACUUUUAUUCUUUAUUACUUUAAUAUUUUAGCACAGAGUUUAGCACAGACAUUAAUACUUUAGCACAGAUUUAAUACUUUAGUACCAACUUUAAUAUUUUAGCACAGAAUUAAUACUUUAGUACCAACUUAAAUAUUUUAGCACAGACUUCAAUAUUUUAGCACCAUCUUUAGCCCAGACUUUAAUAUUUUAGCACCGACUUUAGCACAGACUUCAAUACUUUAGCACAGACUUUAAUAUUUUGGUACAUAGUUUAGCACAGGCUUUAAUACUUUAGCAUGGAUUUAAUACUCUAGCAUGGAUUUUUAUUCUUUAUUACUUUAAUAUUUUAGCACAGGCUUUAAUACUUUAGCAUGGAUUUAAUACUUUAGCCCAGACUUUAAUAUUUUAGCACCGACUUUAGCCCAGACUUUAAUACUUUAGCCCAGACUUUAAUAUUUUGGUACAUAGCUUAGCACAGGCUUUAAUACUUUAGCACGGACUUUAGCAUGGAUUUAAUACUCUAGCAUGGACUUUAAUGCUUCAGCAUGGACAUUUAUUCUUUAUUACUUUAAUAUUUUAGCACAGACUUUAGCACAGACUUUAAUACUUUAGCCCAGACUUUAAUACUUUAGCCCAGACUUUAAUAUUUUAGCACCGACUUUAGCACAGACUUUGAUACUUUAGCACAGAUUUUAAUAUUUUGGUACAUAGCUUAGCACAGGCUUUAAUACUUUAGCAUGGAUUUAAUACUCUACCAUGGACUUUAAUACUUCAGCAUGGACUUUAAUUCUUUAUUACUUUAAUAUUUUAGCACAGACUUUAAUACUUUAGCAUGGAUUUAAUACUUUAGCCCAGACUUCAAUAUUUUAGCACCGACUUUAGCCCAGACUUUAAUACUUUAGCACGGAUUUAACACUUUAGUACCAAUUUUAAUAUUUUAGCACUGACUUUAGCACGGACUUUAAUACCUUAGCACAGACUUUAAUACUUUAGCAUGGACUCAAGCACAAACUUUAAUUUUUAGCACAGACUUUAAUAUUUUAGCACAGAUUUUAGCACGGGCUUUAAUACUCUUGCACAGAUUUUAGGCCAGACUUUAAUAUUUUAAUACAUAGUUUAGCACAGACUUUAAUACUUCAGUGCAGAGUUUAAUACUUUAAUGUGGCCUUUAAUACUUUAGCAUGGACAUUAAUACUUGUUAAAUGCAGAUUUUAAUACUUUAGCACGGACUUUAGGAUGGAUUUGAACACUUUAGCAUGGACUAAAGCACAAAAUUUAAUAUUUUAGCACAGACUUUAGGCCACACUUUAAUAUUUUGGUACACAGUUUAGUAUGGAGUUUAAUACUUUAAUGUGGACUUUAAUACUUUAGCACAGAUUUUACCAUGGGCUUUAAUACUUUAGCACAGAUUUAAUACCUUGGCAUGGACUUUGAUACUUUAGCAUGGAAUUUAAUACUUCAGGACAGACUUUAGCAUGGAUUUUAAUACUUUGGCAUGGACUUUAGCACGGGUUUUAAUAUUCCAGGCCAGACCCAAUGUGGUGGUUUGACCACGAAGAAGUGGGAAUUCUGGGAUGUUGU
rnacentral:lncRNA from 1 species